GAGCUAAAAUCCCGGCCAAACGGCCGGAAAACACGGCCGAAACCCAGCGGCGUCGCCGCGUCCCUCCUCGGUUUUUGCCUCCGAUGAGGCCCUUCUCGGCCUCCGUUUGAUGCAAUUUUUAUAUCACCGUGAUCACCAUUCUUUUCUCUACAGGUUGAUCAGAGCCGAAUCACCAAAACACGAACCUCGCCGGAGAGCCGCCGCACCCGAGAGCACCGCUGCCGGUAAGCUUCAGUUUUUUCGUAAUUUUUUGGCCCCCCGAGGGCCCUAGGGUUGUUUUAU
rnacentral:lncRNA from 1 species